GUCAGGAUGGCCGAGUGGUCUAAGGCGCCAGACUCAAGGUAAGCAGCCUUGCCUACGGGCGUUCUGGUCUCCGGAUGGAGGCGUGGGUUCGAAUCCCACUUCUGACA
rnacentral:tRNA from 1 species